rnacentral:rRNA from 1 species
UAAUACAUAAGUAACCUGCCCUAGACAGGGGGAGUAACUAUUGGAAGCGAUAGCUAAGACCGCAUAGGUACGGACACUGCAUGGUGACCGUAUUAAAAGUGCCUCAAAGCACUGGUAGAGGAUGGACUUAUGGCGCAUUAGCUGGUUGGCGGGGUAACGGCCCACCAAGGCGACGAUGCGUAGCCGACCUGAGAGGGUGACCGGCCACACUGGGACUGAGACACGGCCCAG